CUCUCCCUGUACAGGUUUGAUUGUUUAUGUGGAAACAUGAGGUUGAUUCAAAUCUGUGAUGCUCAAGUUUAUGGAUGGCCAGCCACAAAUAAUCCAUUCAUUUUUUGGAUGCUUUUUAGAAUAAUAGAAGAAUUGCCUUCCAACAAUUCAUCACUGGUAAAGAGUCACCUUUAUGGGCUGGGGUUGUGGCUCAGAGGUAGAGUGCUUGCCUGGCAUGUAUGAGGCCCUCAGCACCAUAAAUAAAUAAAUAAAUAAAUAAAUAAAUAAAUAAAUAAAUAAAAGAUUCAUUGACAACUAAAAAAUAUUCUAAAAAAAGGUGCAUCUUUAUGAAUAAUGAAGGUAUUUCCAUUGUUUAUUAUGGAUAAGAUAGCUCAAUUCCUUGGCAUAGUAAUUAAAUGGUAAUUUCAGUCAUUUGUCCUUUCCAAACUUGCUAAUGAUUAAUAGGGGAAAGUUAUCUAAAAAUUUAUACCAGGUAAAGCAAUACACUAAUUCACUAAACUUGGAAUUUUUAGAAAUGUCUAAGGAAGACAAAAAUUAAAAUACCAGAGCCACCCAGUAUUACCUAAUGAUUAGUAAUGGGAAAGUUGAGAGAGAAUUUAAUUUGUGGGCCACCACACCCAGCUUGUUUUCUUUCAUAGAGACAUAGAAACAGGUUGACGUUUGUGUUCUUUUUAGUGACACAUUGUAUUUCAAGGUUUUGUUUUGUGUUCUGAGUUUAAGAAUAGGAAACAUUCUCUAAGUCACUUGGAAUAAAUUUGUCUAUAGGUCUAGUAAUCGAAUGUAAUAGUUAAAAUGGUUCAUUCACAUAGAUGAGAAUCUUUAGUUAUUUGUGCCAAAUAUUUAAACAUUGUAAGUC
rnacentral:lncRNA from 1 species